rnacentral:rRNA from 1 species
GACGAACGCUGGCGGCGUGCUUAACACAUGCAAGUCGUACGGUAAGGCCCUUUCGGGGGUACACGAGUGGCGAACGGGUGAGUAACACGUGAGUAACCUGCCCACAACUUUGGGAUAACGCUAGGAAACUGGUGCUAAUACUGGAUAUGUGCUCCUGCUGCAUGGUGGGGGUUGGAAAGCUCCGGCGGUUGUGGAUGGACUCGCGGCCUAUCAGCUUGUUGGUGGGGUAGUGGCCUGCCAAGGCGGCGACGGGUAGCCUGCCUGAGAGGGUGACCGGCCACAUUGGGACUGAGAUACGGCCCAGACUCCUACGGGAGGCAGCAGUGGGGAAUAUUGCACAAUGGGCGCAAGCCUGAUGCAGCAACGCCGCGUGCGGGAUGACGGCCUUCGGGUUGUAAACCGCUUUCAGCAGGGACGAAGCUUUUUGUGACGGUACCUGCAGAAGAAGCACCGGCUAACUACGUG